UGUACUUGCGAGGCAGGCGGCAGAAUGACUGAGCUAAAUCCUCGGUCUGCAACCUGGAUUAUUUGAGGUUCUGCGGGAGCUAAGAAGUCUGUCCUUUCUCUCAGUAAGGUAGUGGAAAAUGAAGUAACAUAAGGUGUGUGUGGGAUGGGAGUAAAUAUGGGCCUGGAAUCCCACAUAAUUGCACGAUGGAAAGGUGUUGCCAAGGUCACUGAAUGGAGACAAGGACAAGGCUUGAAGUCUGGCUGCUCGUGUCCUGGCCUGUUUCCACCACAGGACUCCACUGUCACAUGGAAUGUGUCACCUUCCCAACAAAGCCCCUGGGGUGCUGCUUCCAGGCAAGACAGGGCCCAUAGCAGGUGGGGGAGCCACAUGAACCAUCCUACAGAAACACCACUCAAAUGGAGCAGACAGACCCAAACCAGGUGUGGCCAAGACCAAUGACAGAUUUGCUUCUGGAGAGUAGAAAGGGGGUAGGACUGGGAGGCUCCACCGGCCCACAUCUCACCCAUCCUGGUACUUCAGAGACUGGGCCCCAGUGUCACAACUCUGCCUGACACCUGCUUCUGGCAAAGUAUGUACUUUAUAUGUCUGUCAUCACAGGAUCAAGUGUUUGUCAGUGUUUAACAUGGUUAUAAAGAAGAUCUAGAAAAUUUGUAGCCUCUGAGUUCUAAAAUUCCCGAGUUCUACAGCCACAGGUAAGGUGGCUUCAGUGAAGUAAUUAUAGAAACAGUUUGUGGGAUCCAGACCACAGUCCAUAAGUCUCUGAUGGGUGUUAUCACUCCAAAGAGGCAGGAUGUAAAAUAAACAAAUGUUUGGACCAACCUAAGGCACCUGGAUGUGCUCCUCCAUCUCAAAUGCUUUUCAGAGCAGACCAAGAAAGUUCAUCAACCCAGGACCAGAGCUGUUUUUUCUUGGCCAGUGUGCAGUCAACCAGUCCUGUGGCAGUGCAGAGUGACUUAAACGUGGCAGAGGUGUCUGCAGGGCAGUUGGUAGCAGUUUCACAGCAUGUCCUGAAAGAACAUCAGCAAGCCAAGGUCAAAGGUCCCUGGGACCCUGGACAGGACAGGUCCAGGUCCACCCCAGAACACUCUCCUCUGUUCUUCUUCAAACUGAAUGUGCGCCUCCCCCAAAGGAUUGACCCUGUACCUACGAGUUCCUUGAAGUCAUCCCGCUCUGUAGAGAUUCCACUCAGUCCUUUCUGGAGCACAGGAAGAAGAGAGCUGUUCUAACAUUCCUCCACACUGCUGCUUUUCAAGGAUGGUAAUAAGAAAGACAUGGAAGAUACUAAAUUCCCACCUAUGGAAGACUAUUCUCUGACAUGAAUUCCACUUGUGCCAAGGCCAGCAUUUGAGGGCCUUGAAUUUUGGACCUGGAAACUACUGGUCCCAGAUUUAUAACCAUUGCUGUGUCUCAACCAUCUGUUCCCACAUACAUCUAAAAUGUAUGAAAAAAACAUUUGCUCUAAAAGAUACUGGCCAGGAAGUGCAGCGUAGGAAUAUCCCACCUAGCCAGAGUCAUUCAUAUGGACCAAUUUCAGGCUUUGUCCAUUUUAAAGGGGGCAUUUCUCAUUCAUAAUAGAAUCUAUUCCAUGCCAUUGGAAGUAUUAGAAAGCAGUCAGGUCUGCUUUAAAUGUCCAGUGGUAUCUCUCAUCAAAAAUCCUUGGCAAUUUCCAUCUGUAGAGUUAACUAUUCAUGUGGUUCUUGUGAGAGUGAAGAGUCCUUUCAGUAGUUUUCUUCUUGCCCUUCUUUCUUCCUUUUAACAGUCUAUUAUUGAGUCUUUAUACCAUGUCUAGACUUUGAUUCCAGAAGUUAGUUCCACUGUGUCCCUUUCCAAAAGACUCAGUCAUGCCAUGGAAUCAUUUCUAGUACAAAACCAUCAAGUACAGAUGCAGAUAAUUGUCCUGAGCAACAUCUCAAAGACAGAUGAGAAGAUUUUGUACAUGCUAUUUUGACCUUCAAUGGGGAGAAUUUGGCUUUCAGAUGAUUGUGAAGCACAGCUCAUUAUUCUUACCUAUGCCACACCUUUGUCCAUAAAUUUUAGAUUCUCAGGAAACGUACACCCAUCAAAAAUGUAACCCAUUAUCAAAGUGACAAAGAGGUGUCAUGUGUACAGCAAACAUACAAAUUUGUACUCAUCAUAAGCAAGAAAUAAUGUCUCCCCAAGAAAGGACAUUUAGAGAAACCUCAACAUCUUUCAAGUUGAAUCCAAGCCAAAAUUAAGCUCUUUCAAAUUCUGCCUACUGAAUCUGAAUUAAAUCUGAAUUUGAUUAAUUGAAUUACAUCUGAGUGACCUCAGUGUCUUUGGAGUUUGCUUUUCAGACUGCUGUGUGUGUAGAUAGGAUCUGAAAGACCCCAAACUUUCCUUUCAGGACAGAGUAAUUUGUCUCUCUCUCUCUCUGUCUCAGGUUUCAGUAACAUACAAUUUCUGAAAUAUACGGA
rnacentral:lncRNA from 1 species